CAUAAAUAAUAUUUUGUUGAUAAAUAUAUGUACAUAAUGAAGUUGUAACUGCAUUUAAUUUAUUUGUACUUAAAAAAUGUAAAAUAAAAUCAUCAGUGUCAAACCGACGUUUAGUAAGGUGACACGUGUACCUUGCAUUCUGUUUGUAUUAUAGGGCGUAUCAAUCUAACACAGAAAUGGGUGCAAUAUAUUUGCAAAAAUAACAAAACAUUUAUACAAUAAGCAUAUUUUACGAUAAAUUUUUUUUAAAAUAAUGUUAUCUUGUAAGCAAUUAUCGAUCCGUUUUUCAUAGAAUGCGCAAGGCCACAUUGCUACACUUAUUACCUUAGGUCAACAUAUUCAGAAUAUUUGCUGCCUACACUAUCAUUGCAAACAUUUCAAAAUGCUGCUUUAUGCCUGUGGUUUAACGUUAGAAAAUUACCAUUCACAAUCAAUACCAUCUGUUCUAUAUUAAUAGUUAGGUAAUUCUCAUUAUCUUCAAUGUGUUAGAUAAUCCAUCCAAGAAAAA